UACGUAGGGGGCAAGCGUUGUCCGGAUUUAUUGGGCGUAAAGAGCGUGUAGGCGGCCAGACAAGUCUGCUGUGAAAACUCGAGGCUCAACCUCGAGCUGUCGGUGGAAACUGUCUGGCUAGAGUCCGGAAGAGGAGAGUGGAAUUCCUGGUGUAGCGGUGAAAUGCGUAGAUAUCGGAAGGAACACCAGUGGCGAAAGCGGCUUCCUGGUCCAGCACCGACGUUCAGGCACGAAAGCGUGGGGAGCAAACAGG
rnacentral:rRNA from 1 species